rnacentral:misc_RNA from 1 species
UCUCCGUUGGUGAACCAGCGGAGGGAUCAUUACCGAGUUUACAACUCCCAAACCCCUGUGAACAUACCAUUUGUUGCCUCGGCGGUGCCUGCUUCGGCAGCCCGCCAGAGGACCCAAACCCUUGAUUUUAUACAGUAUCUUCUGAGUAAAUGAUUAAAUAAAUCAAAACUUUCAACAACGGAUCUCUUGGUUCUA